CCUACGGGUGGCAGCAGUGGGGAAUAUUGCACAAUGGGGGGAACCCUGAUGCAGCGACGCCGCGUGAGCGAGGAAGUAUUUCGGUAUGUACAGCUCUAUCAGCAGGGACGAAAAAAGACGGUACCUGACUACGAAGCCCCGGCUAACUACGUGCCAGCAGCCGCGGUAAUACGUAGGGGGCAAGCGUUAUCCGGAUUUACUGGGUGUACAGGGAGCGUAGACGGCAAGGCAAGCCAGAAGUGAAAGGGCAGGGCUCAACCCUGUACAUGCUUUUGGAACUGUGGGGCUAGAGUGCAGGAGAGGUAAGUGGAAUUCCUAGUGUAGCGGUGAAAUGCGGAGAUAGUAGGAGGAACACCAGUGGCGAAGGCGGCUUACUGGGCCGUAAUUGACGCUGAGGAACGAAAGCCAGGGUAGCAAAUGGGAUUAGAUACCCUUGUAGUC
rnacentral:rRNA from 1 species